CAGCACCUCAAGUGGUCAGGAUGAUUAUUGGGCCUAAAGCAUCCGUAGCCGGCUCUAUAAGUUUUCGGUUAAAUCUGUACGCUCAACGUACAGGCUGCCGGGAAUACUGCAGAGCUAGGGAGUGGGAGAGGUAGACGGUACUCGGGAGGAAGGGGUAAAAUCCUUUGAUCUCUCGAUGACCACCUGUGGCGAAGGCGGUCUACCAGAACACGUCCGACGGUGAGGGAUGAAAGCUGGGGGAGCAAACCGGAUUAGAUACCCGGGUAGUCCCAGCUGUAAACUAUGCAAACUCAGUGAUGCAUUGACUUGUGGUCAAUGCAGUGCUGCAGGGAAGCCGUUAAGUUUGCCGCCUGGGAAGUACGUACGCAAGUAUGAAACUUAAAGGAAUUGGCGGGGGAGCACCACAAGGGGUGAAGCCUGCGGUUCAAUUGGAGUCAACGCCAGAAAUCUUACCCGGAGAGACAGCAGAAUGAAGGUCAAGCUGAAGACUUUACCAGACAAGCUGAGAGGUGGUGCAUGGCCGUCGCCAGCUCGUGCCGUGAGAUGUCCUGUUAAGUCAGGUAACGAGCGAGAUCCCUGCCUCUAGUUGCCACCAUUACUCUCAGGAGUAGUGGGGCGAAUUAGCGGGACCGCCGCAGUUAAUGCGGAGGAAGGAAGGGGCCACGGCAGGUCAGUAUGCCCCGAAACUCUGGGGCCACACGCGGGCUGCAAUGGUAAUGACAAUGUGUUCCAAAUCCGAAAGGAGGAGGUAAUCCCCAAACAUUACCACAGUUAUGACUGAGGGCUGCAACUCGCCCUCACGAAUAUGGAAUCCCUAGUAACUGCGUGUCAUUAUCGCGCGGUGAAUACGUCCCUGCUCCUU
rnacentral:rRNA from 1 species